UGGGGAAUUUUGGACAAUGGGCGCAAGCCUGAUCCAGCCACGCCGCGUGUCUGAAGAAGGCCUUCGGGUUGUAAAGGACUUUUGUCAGGGAAGAAAAGGCUGUUGCUAAUAUCGACAGCUGAUGACGGUACCUGAAGAAUAAGCACCGGCUAACUACGUGCCAGCAGCCGCGGUAAUACGUAGGGUGCGAGCGUUAAUCGGAAUUACUGGGCGUAAAGCGAGCGCAGACGGUUACUUAAGCAGGAUGUGAAAUCCCCGGGCUCAACCUGGGAACUGCGUUCUGAACUGGGUGACUAGAGUGUGUCAGAGGGAGGUAGAAUUCCACGUGUAGCAGUGAAAUGCGUAGAGAUGUGGAGGAAUACCGAUGGCGAAGGCAGCCUCCUGGGAUAACACUGACGUUCAUGCUCGAAAGCGUGGGUAGCAAACAGGAUCAGAUACCCUGGUAGUCCACGCCCUAAACGAUGUCAAUUAGCUGUUGGGCAACUUGAUUGCUUAGUAGCGUAGCUAACGCGUGAAAUUGACCGCCUGGGGAGUACGGUCGCAAGAUUA
rnacentral:rRNA from 1 species